rnacentral:rRNA from 1 species
UCGAACGGCAGCACGGGGCAACCUGGUGGCGAGUGGCGAACGGGUGAGUAAUAUAUCGGAACAUGUCCGGAAGUGGGGGAUAACGUAGCGAAAGUUACGCUAAUACCGCAUAUGCCCUAAGGGGGAAAGGAGGGGAUCGCAAGACCUUUCGCUUUCGGAAUGGCCGAUAUCGGAUUAGCUAGUAGGUGAGGUAAAGGCUCACCUAGGCGACGAUCCGUAGCUGGUCUGAGAGGACGACCAGCCACACUGGAACUGAGACACGGUCCAGACUCCUACGGGAGGCAGCAGUGGGGAAUUUUGGACAAUGGGCGCAAGCCUGAUCCAGCCAUACCGCGUGAGUGAAGAAGGCCUUCGGGUUGUAAAGCUCUUUCAGACGGAAAGAAACGGUUACGGCUAAUACCCGUGACUAAUGACGGUACCGUAAGAAGAAGCACCGGCUAACUACGUGCCAGCAGCCGCGGUAAUACGUAGGGUGCGAGCGUUAAUCGGAAUUACUGGGCGUAAAGCGUGCGCAGGCGGUUUGGUAAGACAGAUGUGAAAUCCCCGGGCUUAACCUGGGAACUGCAUUUGUGACUGCCAGACUAGAGUGUAGCAGAGGGGGGUAGAAUUCCACGUGUAGCAGUGAAAUGCGUAGAUAUGUGGAGGAAUACCGAUGGCGAAGGCAGCCCCCUGGGCUAACACUGACGCUCAUGCACGAAAG